rnacentral:rRNA from 1 species
UACGUAGGGGGCAAGCGUUGUCCGGAUUUAUUGGGCGUAAAGAGCGUGUAGGCGGCCAUUCAGGUCAGCUGUGAAAACUCGAGGCUCAACCUCGAGACGUCGGUUGAAACCGUUUGGCUAGAGUCCGGAAGAGGAGAGUGGAAUUCCCGGUGUAGCGGUGAAAUGCGCAGAUAUCGGAAGGAACGUCAGUGGCGAAGGCGACUUCCUGGACUGAUACUGACGCUGAGGCACGAAAGCGUGGGGAGCAAACAGG